rnacentral:lncRNA from 1 species
CGGUUGUAGAAACCGCCUCUACGAAUUGAGAGGUUGUUUAAACCGCCUCUUCGAUAACUAAAAACCGUCUCUACGUACUACUAGAAAAUUAGUCAUUAGUGGCAUUUAUUUAUGCUGCUAAAUGAUCAACAAAUGCUGCUAAAAGUUUUAGCAGCAUAUGACACCAAAUGCUGCCUAUGUCAAUGUUGCUAAAAGUAUUAGCAGCAUUAAUUAUAAAUGCCGCCAAUAUAAAUCAAUUAGUGUCAUUAGGAAUAUGCCGCUAAAAGGGAUUAAAUGCUAAUUUUAAAUUAUUUAUUAGCGGCACAUAAAUAUAAUGCCGCUAAUACAAAUAUCUGAUUUUAGAAAUUAAAAUUUUAAAAUUUUAAUUUUAUAUUUAAUUUUUUUGAGAUGCUAUCCGCUUCAUUUAUUUUUUUUUGUCUUAAACUUUGUUGGAAAUGUGAAUCAACUAAGAUUCGAACGUGAGACCUCGAGUACCAACAAUUAAUCAAGCCCUUUGCCACUUGCGUUAGCGACUAUUAGUUAUGUAUAUUUUAUUUUUUAUAUUUUAAGUCUUCUAUUUCAAAAUUUUAAAAUUUUAAAUUUAGAUACUAAAUAUAAAUUUUUAAUUUUGAAAUAUGAAAUUUUAAGUUUCAAAAUUAAUAGUUUUAAAUUUGAAAUU